rnacentral:piRNA from 1 species
UGGAAGGUCACUGUCCCACCACUC